CUGAGAAUACUGAAUGGGAUCUUUAAAGCAACGACCGAUGUUCACAUCUAUGAAGAAGCAUAACAGAGAAGAGCAAAUAUGCUUCUUUUGAUGUGACAACCACCAACUAGAGGGUUUGCAAAAACUCAAAUGGAUGACAAGAACAUAGACGACUCCAAAGGAUUUGGAUGAAACCAGAUGCUACACACGAAGGAAAGUACCUUUAAGAUGUAAGAGGUAGUGAAAAUGAUCCUCUUCAUCACAAACUAAUAUAGAGAAAUACUACCUUGAGACACAAAAUAUAAUAAUCAUACUACACAUAGCAUUCAACUUGGCACUUAGGUAUUUUCUUGCAAAUUUUGAACUCCAUAGUCAUAGUAUGGUUAAAAGUCAACAUGCGCAGAAUUACUAUUAUACUUAAGCAUGAUGUUGUAACUAUGACCAUAUCCAUAACCAUGGUCGUCAAGACUUGUCUCCGACUAUUUGCAUUUGGCUUCUAUGAAUCCUCAUUUGUCUAUCAUUUCUAUUAAGGGCUAACUGUAUUUUUAUUGCAAGCUUUUCAUUUUACCUCUAACAAUUUCCAACAUGUUGCCUUAGGUCCUCCCUUCCUCUUUUGGGAUAUUUUCACAGCAUCGCUUCCUAUUAGAGCCUCCUUAGAUCUUCAUAGCACAUGCCCAUAUCAUCAAAUUCAACCCUACUACUUCAUCUUUAAUAUACCAACUCCCCGCUCUAUCCUUUCUAGUUUCACCACACAGCCACCCCAACAUUCUCCUCUAUGUUGCAUUCAUCAUGUUUGCUAGGAUCCUCUUCAUUAACCAACAUUCUAAGCCACAGAGCAUAGAAGGCCUUGCAGUCAUUUUAUGAAAAUCUUCAUGAAGUUGCCAAGAAACGCAUCAAUAACAUAUUACCUAAAAUUGCCUCUAAUUUCAUCCACAAAACUCCUAAUAUAGAUGUUUUUAUCCAUCUCACCAGUUUUCUAUAUUAGAUCAACCUAAUCGUGGGAUCUCCUAUCCAUCAGUUUUGGUUAAGCACUUGAUUAUCAUAUUUCAUCUUCAAGUUCACUGGGAUUGCACUUCAUUUAGUCUAUCUUUCAUUCUUCUAAUCUUGGGGCAUCCUCUUAGGCCUCCUCCAUACUUCCUUAGUAGUUAAUCUUGUAAUCUCCAAAUCAAUCAACAUAAUAUCACCUACAAAUCCAAUUUAAUGUUGAUGGCAGAUACAACUAUCAAGAUGCU
rnacentral:lncRNA from 1 species